GUAAGCGGAAAUGUCUAGGUCUUUGUCACUCCAUCUUGCAUCAUCUGGGGACCAUCCUGGAAAGAGUGUGGCCUUUGCUCAAGAGAUGAGACUGACCGUGUAACAGCAAACAGCUACAUAAUGCCGCUAGCUACACUCUUAGAACCUGGACUAUGAAGAAGCUUCUUGAAGGAAGAUCUGAGUGUUCUAUAUCCAUGUCUGCCAUACAUGUUUAUCAUGAAAUUAAUA
rnacentral:lncRNA from 1 species